UAACCCUAGCCCCAAAUUUCUAUUUUCCGUGCGAAUUCAAACUUCAAAUCCUCUGUCGCUGAAGUGAAAUCUCAAAGGCUCCCGUGCAAGCUUAGCCGUUGCCGAAGUCAUUCCCCCACCAUCGCUGAAGGUCUCCCGUCAACCAGCGCCGUCGCCAUCCUUUGCUUUCGUCGCGGAAGGUCUUCCAUCGCCGUCGCUGAUCCUCUCCCGUGGCUAUCAAGUCUGAUAUUCUCCCUACCUCAGAAAAAUUCAAAGUACAAAUCCUCUGACGCUUGAGGAAUUAUAGAAACAUAGAUGGCAGGAAAGCCCAUUAAUCAGGCUGGUGGAAAGAAAGCUCUUGAUGUCUCUGUUGAUUCAAGAUUGCUGAUUCAAGAAUAAAACCUGAAGGGUGCAGUUUCCGGAAAGGCCAAGAAAUGUGGGGCUGGUGGUGGAAGAAAACCACUUGGUGAUCUAUCCAAUGCAGGAAAGCCCAUUAAUCAGGCUGGUGGAAAGAAAGCUCUUCAUGUCUCUGUUGAUUCAAGAUUGCUGACUCAAGAACGGAACCUGAAGGGUGCAGUUUCCGGGAAGGCCAAGAAAUGUGGAAAGAAAGCCCUUGAUGUCUCUAUCAAUCGGCAUUCUGAGAAAUCUGUCACCGCUAGAAGGAAGGCCCUUUCUGACAUUUCAAACUCCGUGGUUGAGCCGCCUCCUCUUGACUUUGAUGUCUUUGAGGAACUAGGAAUGCUGCACGAUCAUUCCAAGUGUAUAAAGUAUAUGUUGUCAAAUUUUUCCCCUUUGGGUGAAGCUGAACUGCUUAGUGAGGAGUCUGAAAGCCCUCAUAUAGAAGUAGAGGAGGAGGAGGAGGAUUACAACCUACAGGAGGUGACUGAGCCGGAGAUUUAUAUGAGGUGCUAUCGGCCUGUUUCUCCAAUGAAUUCUCCAGAAUGCCGCAAAAUGUUGCAUGAAUUGAAAGCACUGUAUUCUGAGCGUCCUGAUGCAAGACAGUGACAGGAGCAGGAAAGAGCAGUGCUUCUCAGUAGUGGUCACCUUUUGGUUGGAGUGAUUAUGUUGCUAAUGCUGCAAAAUGUUGAAAUUAUAUGAAUUUAAACAUUUGCCUGAGGUGCUCCCUGGGCUUGAGUGUGUCUCUGCUCAUCCUGGCUCUCCUGAACGAUGCAAUACCUCCAAAAUGCAGCACAAUUCUCUGAAGGACUAGGAAUUAAGAUUCAACUCACUCACGCUCACACUCACACUACAGUAGCCAAUAAUGAAUACUGUGCUUUCUCUUUGGACUUUGGUCUUCUGUUUUCUUUUGGUCUUUCUUUAUUGUUAACUAUGGUUAACACUAAUCACCUAUUCUAUAAAAAUUAAUUAAAACACUAACUAUGGCUUUACAGACUAUGGUUAUCAAUAAACUACCGUUUUUAUUCGGUGCUUAUUUUUUUAUAGUGGUUUAAAUUAAAGUUGCAUGAGUGCAUGUGUUGCUACGUGUUCUUUAUUAUUUUCCAAAACCAGUGUGUUGAUUUGCGAUUUUAAUAGUAGAUCAGAUGUCAAGAGGCCUUUGGCUGGCUUUUCAAAUCAAUAAGGUUGAUGGAUGGGAUGAGAUAGAUGCAGAUAAAUUAUUGGCUAUAGGGCAAUUACUAUUUACUAGUA